AUUGAACGCUGGCGGCAGGCCUAACACAUGCAAGUCGAGCGGAUGAAGGGAGCUUGCUCCUGGAUUCAGCGGCGGACGGGUGAGUAAUGCCUAGGAAUCUGCCUGGUAGUGGGGGAUAACGUCCGGAAACGGGCGCUAAUACCGCAUACGUCCUGAGGGAGAAAAUGGGGGAUCUUCGGACCUCACGCUAUCAGAUGAGCCUAGGUCGGAUUAGCUAGUUGGUGGGGUAAAGGCCUACCAAGGCGACGAUCCGUAACUGGUCUGAGAGGAUGAUCAGUCACACUGGAACUGAGACACGGUCCAGACUCCUACGGGAAGCAGCAGUGGGGAAUAUUGGACAAUGGGCGAAAGCCUGAUCCAGCCAUGCCGCGUGUGUGAAGAAGGUCUUCGGAUUGUAAAGCACUUUAAGUUGGGAGGAAGGGCAGUAAGUUAAUACCUUGCUGUUUUGACGUUACCAACAGAAUAAGCACCGGCUAACUUCGUG
rnacentral:rRNA from 1 species